GGAGAUCAUGGGAGGAAGAAAAGUGGAAUUAGAUAAGGGAGAAGAAAAGGGUGAAAUCAUUUUUCAUCUGUACAUCACAGCUGGUCUCAAGAUGUUUUCCUUCAAGAUGAUAGGAAAUGUCUGAUGGAAAGAAGACAGGAUUAUAGAAUUUCUGGAACUUUGAGCAUAAAAUUUGGUAAU